rnacentral:rRNA from 1 species
UGGGGAAUAUUGGACAAUGGGCGCAAGCCUGAUCCAGCCAUGCCGCGUGUGUGAAGAAGGCCUUUUGGUUGUAAAGCACUUUAAGCGAGGAGGAGGCUACUUGGAUUAAUACUCUAGGAUAGUGGACGUUACUCGCAGAAUAAGCACCGGCUAACGCUGUGCCAGCAGCCGCGGUAAUACAGAGGGUGCGAGCGUUAAUCGGAUUUACUGGGCGUAAAGCGUGCGUAGGCGGCUUCUUAAGUCGGAUGUGAAAUCCCUGGGCUUAACUUAGGAAUUGCAUUAGAUACUGGGAAGCUAGAGUAUGGGAGAGGAUGGUAGAAUUCCAGGUGUAGCGGUGAAAUGCGUAGAGAUCUGGAGGAAUACCGAUGGCGAAGGCAGCCAUCUGGCCUAAUACUGACGCUGAGGUACGAAAGCAUGGGGAGCAAACAGG